UUCAGUUUCCUUAAAAGUGACAGACACACAGAAGAGGAAAACAGGACUGAAAAGCUGUCACAACAGACAAAACUGUUAGACUGUAUAACUACAGAAAGUACAAGUACAAGGUGCUACCCAUCGACGUAAAACAGAUUUUAAACACUGAGAUUUAGAAAAAGAUAUGUACAGACAAAAUACAGAAGAAAAUCUACAAUGACUUUUUCUACAAACAAAGCUACAAUGCUGUGAUUCUACUCACAUGGAAUCGUUUCUGACCAGCUGUCCAUUCUGGCGAACAGCAUUCUCACUCAUAGAACGUUCUCUUUUUAGCCUGCCAACUGCUCGGAUCUGUUAAGGCAAAAACAAAGGGAAAAAAUGGAAUAUUCUUAGUAGCUUAGAAGCUAUUUAGCAUAAAAAAAAACACAGGAAACUUCAUCCAUGACUACUCAUAAAAAUACAAGGAGCUAAGAGAAGCCAACCAAAAAGAAAAACCUGUGUAUUACAGACAGGUUAUGAAGAUAUUUUCUCAAUUGGGGUUCCCUCCUAUCAGAUGAUUCUAGCCUGUGUCCAGUGGAUAUAAAGUUAGCCAGCAUGCAUACCGAAAGAGUCCAUCCAUUUCCCCGUUAUUAAAGAACUUGAGAAGCUCUGGGUGCACUAAUGUCAUCUCCUCACCUCGUCCUAUUGUCCUGCUGAGACUAUGCAGAUGGAAAACUUACAGAGGGCAGAACAAGAUGCCGAGGUAGAAAGGGUGAAGAAGCCGGCCCUUGAUAACAACAGGACAGGGCCGUGAGGACACGCCAAGGCCGGGACCG